AAAGAACAGAACCACUUCUAUGGCGAAGGCCAGGGUGGUUCCUGUUCAGCCCCUGUGCCCACUGACCAGUCUCUCCAGGCUUCAGACCACUCGUUAUUUGCCUUUUAUCUGUGCCAUCUUGACUGGAUGAGCUGGAUUAAAUUAUUCGUACCAAGGAACUAGGACUCCCUGCCGUUAACAGUCUCCCAAGAAGGCAUAUCAAGCCAUCUCUAAUGGGAUUCACAGAACUCCAGCCAGGACACUGAGGGAAGUUGACUGAGACAGCCUGGGAUCACCAGGAAACAUGAGACCUCAGGUACAAACCAGAUUUCACAAGUCAGAGGCAAGGAGAAAAGCUGAAAGCCUCUGACAUUAAGAGAAGCAGGAGGUGGACUUCCCCAACAGUUCAGUGUCAAGACAGCGCUGCCAACGCAGGAGGCAUGGGUUUCAUCCCUGGUUGAGGAAGAUCCUGAAUGCUGUGUGGCAGUCUCCCCCAUCAAAGAAAAAGAGAGAAAGAGGCAGGAGACAGGCAGGAGACCCUGAAGGUCAGCCUGUGACAGUUAUGUUAAUGAAAACCCAAAGGAGGUGUCUGCAUCCACGCCUGGACCAGGAGAUUAAAGGGAGCGAUGUCGUCUCUCUCCCCCGGGACUGGAGGUGCAGAGAAGCCCAGGGGUGGGCCCCUCGCUCAGCCUGCAUCCUCCGGAGUCACUUUUCCAGCAGAAGGCAGAGCUGUGCGAUCCAGUCAGAGGCCCUGAGCUUGCACCCUGCCCAGUGCCACAGAGGCGCUCCGAGCGCCAACCCCCUCGGACGCAGUCCUGCCCUGUGCCCGCAUUUUCCCCGGGCUCACUAACAGUCAGCUCCAGGGGGCAGAGAGCAGGUGGCUGGUAAACUGUCGAGACCAGUGCACACCUGCUUCCGUUCCUCCCUGGCUCUGGCUAAGCCACCGUCCUUGUCACCGCGGAGCUGAUAAUACGCUGUGAAUGACCCAGGCAGGACCCCUGCGG
ensembl:lncRNA